rnacentral:lncRNA from 1 species
CCUCUGGAUUGAUCGUCCAUGGUUCGAAGCCCUUCACUGAAAUCGAAUAUCAAUUUCGAUGUGUUUUUCGGCGAAAUUUGCCGGCGGAACGGGGUUUCGGUUCGGAUUUCUUCCGGCGUUGUGAGUUUUGUCGCUGAGCCUUGUCGGCUGGUCACUAUCGUUAUAUCGAGAGUUCGGAGAUGACGGGUGAGCGACGAUGGGUUCCGGUGUCGACAUUGACACUUCCGGAAAUCCGGAUCCGAAUAAUUAUCCGGCGAUAGUUGUUUUGUUGUGUGA